AGAGUUUGAUCCUGGCUCAGGAUGAACGCUAGCGACAGGCUUAACACAUGCAAGUCGAGGGGCAGCACGGUGUAGCGAUACACUGGUGGCGACCGGCGCACGGGUGAGUAACACGUGUGCAACCAACCCCGUACCGGGAGAUAACCCGCGGAAACGUGGACUAACAUCCCAUGACACUCGAGAGCCGCAUGGCUCUAGAUUUAAAAUUCCGGUGGUACGGGACGGGCACGCGCGACAUUAGGUAGUUGGCGGGGUAACGGCCCACCAAGCCGACGAUGUCUAGGGGUUCUGAGAGGAAGGUCCCCCACACUGGAACUGAGACACGGUCCAGACUCCUACGGGAGGCAGCAGUGAGGAAUAUUGGUCAAUGGGCGAGAGCCUGAACCAGCCAAGUCGCGUGAGGGAAGAAUGGUCUAUGGCCUGUAAACCUCUUUUGUCAGGGAAGAAUAAGGAUGACGAGUCAUUCGAUGCCAGUACUUGACGAAUAAGCAUCGGCUAACUCCGUGCCAGCAGCCGCGGUAAUACGGGGGAUGCGAGCGUUAUCCGGAUUUAUUGGGUUUAAAGGGCGCGUAGGCGGGACGUCAAGUCAGCGGUAAAAGACUGCAGCUAAACUGUAGCACGCCGUUGAAACUGGCGCCCUGGAGACGAGACGAGGGAGGCGGAACAAGUGAAGUAGCGGUGAAAUGCAUAGAUAUCACUUGGAACCCCGAUAGCGAAGGCAGCUUCCCAGGCUCGUUCUGACGCUGAUGCGCGAGAGCGUGGGUAGCGAACAGGAUUAGAUACCCUGGUAGUCCACGCCGUAAACGAUGCUCACUGGUUCUGUGCGAUAUAUUGUACGGGAUUAAGCGAAAGUAUUAAGUGAGCCACCUGGGGAGUACGUCGGCAACGAUGAAACUCAAAGGAAUUGACGGGGGCCCGCACAAGCGGAGGAACAUGUGGUUUAAUUCGAUGAUACGCGAGGAACC
rnacentral:rRNA from 1 species